UUCUCUCCACUACAUUUUUCCCCACUAAUCUUUGCUCCCUCAGCCACCCACCACCAUUAUCACCUUCACCAUUUCCUCACUCUUCACUCACGGCUCAUCCAAUUUCCAAGUUCAAAAAUUCAAGUUUCCUUCACUGAUGUCCAAGUUGUCGAAUUCAGCAGGAAGGAAGAGUUCCUGCAACAAAUUGUCCUACUCCAAUUAAUUUACUCCACCGCAGAAACAAAUUCAGCAGUCAAGCGCGAGAGUAAGAACUACUCAAGGAGUCAAAAUACCUUAGCAAAACCUUGCUAUCAGGUUGAGCUGUGAUGGGCGAUGAAGUGUUGUUGCUGAGUGGAGUUUUUGUCGAACUUAAAGUAGGCUCAGAAAGGAUACAUGUCUUCAUACAUGUAUCUCAGUUAUGCAUUCCGCUGUAAACACUGAUUAUUUCAGUUACACCUUCCGUUGCAAACUCUGAUAAUGUUUUAGCCAAGCCCCUAACGAUGCCUUUUUCCUUUUAAGGAAUAUAACGCUUAUACAAGUUCGUUGAGUA